AAAAAGGAAAAAGAAAAAUAAUAAAAAAAGGAAUGAAAAAGUGCGAGAGAGCAUGGGUAUUGUUUGAACAAAUUCAGAGUAGAGCAGGUAACUGUUUUCGAAGGUACCAAAAACGCAUACACCAUUUACCACUAAUCUAUUUACUACUAAUCUCUCCAAGUGCAUUUUCCUUUUUCAAUUGGAAUUCCACUAUAUUCAAAUCUAUCCUCGUUACCCGAUCCUAACCAUUUUUCUCCGUUGAUGACCCAAUACACCCGAGAGGGAAUCACCCCACAGAUUCACACACCAUACGGUCCUUUUUGGCUGGCAACACUUCAUCACGCAUCAUACACAUACCACCACCAUUCUGUUAGGCAAAGACCGGAUGACCCCACCCAAUGAUUUUCCCAUCCUAACGACCCAAUACACACCACUACACACAGCCACAAUCAUCAGGGCACCUUCAAUGCCAACCAUCAAGCAUCUUCCACACCACCGAUUAGGCAUUCCUCCGUUGAUUCAUCAGACGCACCAUCAACCAAAAGAAAAAAUAAAUAAUAAGAACUUGAAUGCAAGCAUAGCGUAACAUAGGCUCAGGAUACCGUUUUCACCCCAUCAAAGCAACCACAAUUGAUCCCUUCAAUCAUCAAAUACAACAACAUACUCCUUCUAUCUGGGGGAAGGGGAUAAAAAAGCAGAAAAAAAAAAAACAACAGAGAAGACCAUUUUUUUUCCAUUACCUCCAACAGACCUCAUCACUCUCAAUCAACAGAAAAAACAGAAACGAUUUUUCUCCCUCACAACAUAACUAAAACCACUCUCCAUUGCCGUUAGCACCCACGAUCUUCAUCCGAGCCCUCUAUAUUCUUUGGGCAGCUUUUUUCUCGGGUCUUCAUCAUUAUCACAGCCUGAAGGCACCACUGAGGACACUACUCUGAUGGCAACUACCUUCAUCAUUCGCCAUUCUAUUACAUUACAAGAUUCUCCACUCCUCUGGCCUUCCGAAACCAAUUCCUCCAUUUUUCACGCAACAAAGAUCACCUUCACCAUUCACAAUCACCCAUUCUCAUCCGUAGCCACCUCAACUAUCUUUCCUUUUUCUCUACCAAUUCCUCCUUCUCGACACAAAAUUCUACCAGAACCCUUCCACCAACACAUCCCCAUUAUCAUCUCCUCAUUACACCCCUGCUCCGAGCUUCCCUGCAUUGAAAAUACAGAAGAGAACAAACCAAUAUUCCAGCCCAAAACCCCUCACACACAAACC
rnacentral:lncRNA from 1 species